AGUGAACGCUGGCGGCGUGCCUAAUACAUGCAAGUCGAACGGAGUGGCGCACGGGUGAGUAAUAUAUAGCUAAUCUGCCCCUUGCUGGAGGACAACAGUUAGAAAUGACUGCUAAUACUCCAUAGCAAGGGAUGAGACGAUAUCGUAUUAGCUAGUCGGUGGGGUAACGGCCUACCGAGGCUAUGACGCGUAACUGGUCUGAGAGGAUGAUCAGACACAUGGAAACAGAGACACGGUCCAAACUCCUACGGGAGGCAGCAGUAGGUAAGAUUGCGAACUGGGGGAAACCCUGACGCAGUAACGCCGCGUGGAGGAUGACAUUUUUCGUGACGUAAACUCAUUUUGUUAGGGACGCGGUACCUAACGAAUAAGCACCGGCUAACUCCGUGCCAGCAGCCGCGGUAAUUC
rnacentral:rRNA from 1 species